rnacentral:rRNA from 1 species
GACGAACGCUGGCGGCGUGCUUAACACAUGCAAGUCGAACGAUGAAGCUAGAGCUUGCUCUGGUGAAUUAGUGGCGAACGGGUGAGUAACACGUGAGUAACCUGCCCCGAACUCUGGGAUAACUGCUGGAGACGGUAGCUAAUACUGGAUACGACCUACGAAGGCAUCUUCUGUAGGUGGAAAGAAUUUCGGUUCGGGAUGGACUCGCGGCCUAUCAGCUUGUUGGUGAGGUAACGGCUCACCAAGGCGACGACGGGUAGCCGGCCUGAGAGGGUGACCGGCCACACUGGGACUGAGACACGGCCCAGACUCCUACGGGAGGCAGCAGUGGGGAAUAUUGCACAAUGGGCGCAAGCCUGAUGCAGCAACGCCGCGUGAGGGAUGACGGCCUUCGGGUUGUAAACCUCUUUUAGUAGGGAAGAAGCGAAAGUGACGGUACCUGCAGAAAAAGCACCGGCUAACUACGUGCCAGCAGCCGCCGUAA